rnacentral:misc_RNA from 1 species
AUACAUUACUUUAGUUCAGACAAUGCCGAGUGAUUUGGUGUGUUUGUGAACUACUAGGGUCGAGACCCAAGUCUACUUUUUCUCUGAAAUGAUCCUUCCGCAGGUUCACCUACGGAAA